rnacentral:rRNA from 1 species
CCUACGGGUGGCAGCAGUGGGGAAUAUUGGACAAUGGGCGAAAGCCUGAUCCAGCCAUGCCGCGUGUGUGAAGAAGGCCUUCGGGUUGUAAAGCACUUUCAGUGGGGAAGAAAGCCUUGGGGCUAAUACCCUCGAGGAAGGACAUCACCCACAGAAGAAGCACCGGCUAACUCCGUGCCAGCAGCCGCGGUAAUACGGAGGGUGCGAGCGUUAAUCGGAAUUACUGGGCGUAAAGCGCGCGUAGGCGGUCUGAUAAGCCGGUUGUGAAAGCCCCGGGCUCAACCUGGGAACGGCAUCCGGAACUGUCAGGCUAGAGGGCAGGAGAGGAAGGUAGAAUUCCCGGUGUGGCGGUGAAAUGCGUAGAGAUCGGGAGGAAUACCAGUGGCGAAGGCGGUCUUCUGGACUGACACUGACGCUGAGGUGCGAAAGCGUGGGUAGCAAACAGGAUUAGAUACCCGGGUAGUC